rnacentral:tRNA from 1 species
GGAAGUGUGGCCGAGCGGUUGAAGGCACCGGUCUUGAAAACCGGCGACCCGCAAGGGUUCCAGAGUUCGAAUCUCUGCGCUUCCGCCA